rnacentral:rRNA from 1 species
GACGAACGCUGUUGGCGUGCUUAACACAUGCAAGUCGAACGGAAAGGCCCUGCUUUUGUGGGGUGCUCGAGUGGCGAACGGGUGAGUAACACGUGAGUAACCUGCCCUUGACUUUGGGAUAACUUCAGGAAACUGGGGCUAAUACCGGAUAGGAGCUCCUGCUGCAUGGUGGGGGUUGGAAAGUUUCGGCGGUUGGGGAUGGACUCGCGGCUUAUCAGCUUGUUGGUGGGGUAGUGGCUUACCAAGGCUUUGACGGGUAGCCGGCCUGAGAGGGUGACCGGCCACAUUGGGACUGAGAUACGGCCCAGACUCCUACGGGAGGCAGCAGUGGGGAAUAUUGCACAAUGGGCGGAAGCCUGAUGCAGCAACGCCGCGUGCGGGAUGACGGCCUUCGGGUUGUAAACCGCUUUCGCCUGUGACGAAGCGUGAGUGACGGUAAUGGGUAAAGAAGCACCGGCUAACUACGUGCCAGCAGCCGCGGUGAUACGUAGGGUGCGAGCGUUGUCCGGAUUUAUUGGGCGUAAAGGGCUCGUAGGUGGUUGAUCGCGUCGGAAGUGUAAUCUUGGGGCUUAACCCUGAGCGUGCUUUCGAUACGGGUUGACUUGAGGAAGGUAGGGGAGAAUGGAAUUCCUGGUGGAGCGGUGGAAUGCGCAGAUAUCAGGAGGAACACCAGUGGCGAAGGCGGUUCUCUGGGCCUUUCCUGACGCUGAGGAGCGAAAGCGUGGGGAGCGAACAGGCUUAGAUACCCUGGUAGUCCACGCUGUAAACGGUGGGUACUAGGCGUGGGGUCCAUUCCACGGGUUCCGUGCCGUAGCUAACGCUUUAAGUACCCCGCCUGGGGAGUACGGCCGCAAGGCUAAAACUCAAAGGAAUUGACGGGGCCCCGCACAAGCGGCGGAGCAUGCGGAUUAAUUCGAUGCAACGCGUAGAACCUUACCUGGGUUUGACAUGGAUCGGGAGUGCUCAGAGAUGGGUGUGCCUCUUUUGGGGUCGGUUCACAGGUGGUGCAUGGCUGUCGUCAGCUCGUGUCGUGAGAUGUUGGGUUAAGUCCCGCAACGAGCGCAACCCUUGUUCACUGUUGCCAGCACGUUAUGGUGGGGACUCAGUGGAGACCGCCGGGGUCAACUCGGAGGAAGGUGGGGAUGACGUCAAGUCAUCAUGCCCCUUAUGUCCAGGGCUUCACGCAUGCUACAAUGGCUGGUACAGAGAGUGGCGAGCCUGUGAGGGUGAGCGAAUCUCGGAAAGCCGGUCUCAGUUCGGAUUGGGGUCUGCAACUCGACCUCAUGAAGUCGGAGUCGCUAGUAAUCGCAGAUCAGCAACGCUGCGGUGAAUACGUUCCCGGG